GAUAUGGUUAUAAUUAGCAACACGUGAAAUUAACAGUUAAUUAUUGAAAACACCGGAUGAGAACGGUCCAACUUCUUAAUUAAAGCGGGGAUCUUGUUCGCAGCUCUGGCCAAAUUCACACCGACGAGAAAGAAUGGUUUAAUGAAACUGUCUCUGUUUCCACUAAACGAUUACGCACGACGGUUAAACUGAUUUAAGUUGGUCAGUUUCACACAUUUCUGCACAAAUCCAAAUAAAUGAGUACGUGGAGUCGGUUCGAUUCACUUAAUUUACCUUCCACCCAGCAGAGGCAGCACUGGGCGAACUGUGCGCAAAGUAGCGCAAAUUACGCGCCACGAAACACCGCGCUCUAGAACGAGAGGGGGGCGUUUUAUAUUAGCAAUUAGGAAUGAAAGAUAACGCGUUGUCCCGAAGGCCACUUUGCCCCUAACUUAAUUACUCGUCUACCGCUCCACGCUGUUUUGGCACCUCGCACCAAGUUUGCGCCAAACUAGUUUCCGCCAACAUUGUCCAAAGAACCAUUUAUGAAGGUGAACGAUGAACCCAAAUCCAUGCUCCCAAACCUCGGACUGCAGCUUCAGGACGCCAGUGAGAGCGUCUCCUUCAGGUAGGAAACGUCAUUCAAACCAUGAUAACAGGAACUUGGCGAGUGUUUUUGUGCUUUUUUUAUUUUUUCUUUUGCCUCAUCACCAGAUUAUGAAC
rnacentral:lncRNA from 1 species